rnacentral:rRNA from 1 species
UUUUGGACAAUGGGGGCAACCCUGAUCCAGCCAUGCCGCGUGAGUGAAGAAGGCCUUCGGGUUGUAAAGCUCUUUCGGCGGGGACGAAACGGUUCGCGUUAACACCGCGGACUAAUGACGGUACUCGCAGAAGAAGCACCGGCUAACUACGUGCCAGCAGCCGCGGUAAUACGUAGGGUGCGGGCGUUAAUCGGACUUACUGGGCGUAAAGCGUGCGCAGGCGGCUCCUUAAGUCAGAUGUGAAAUCCCCGGGCUUAACCUGGGAACUGCGUUUGAAACUGGGGGGCUCGAGUGUGGAAGAGGGGGGUGGAAUUCCAGGUGUAGCAGUGAAAUGCGUAGAGAUCUGGAGGAACACCGAUGGCGAAGGCAGCCCCCUGGGCUAACACUGACGCUCAUGCACGAAAGCGUGGGGAGCAAACAG